rnacentral:rRNA from 1 species
UGAUAAGGUCCGUGUUCGAAAGGGAAACAGCCCAGACCACCAGCUAAGGUCCCAAAAUAUAUGUUAAGUGGAAAAGGAUGUGGCGUUGCCCAGACAACUAGGAUGUUGGCUUAGAAGCAGCCAUCAUUUAAAGAGUGCGUAAUAGCUCACUAGUCGAGUGACACUGCGCCGAAAAUGUACCGGGGCUAAACAUAUUACCGAAGCUGUGGAUUGUCCUUUGGACAAUGGUAGGAGAGCGUUCUAAGGGCGUUGAAGCAUGAUCGUAAGGACAUGUGGAGCGCUUAGAAGUGAGAAUGCCGGUGUGAGUAGCGAAAGACGGGUGAGAAUCCCGUCCACCGAUUGACUAAGGUUUCCAGAGGAAGGCUCGUCCGCUCUGGGUUAGUCGGGUCCUAAGCUGAGGCCGACAGGCGUAGGCGAUGGAUAACAGGUUGAUAUUCCUGUACCACCUAUAAUCGUUUUAAUCGAUGGGGGGACGCAGUAGGAUAGGCGAAGCGUGCGAUUGGAUUGCACGUCUAAGCAGUAAGGCUGAGUAUUAGGCAAAUCCGGUACUCGUUAAGGCUGAGCUGUGAUGGGGAGAAGACAUUGUGUCUUCGAGUCGUUGAUUUCACACUGCCGAGAAAAGCCUCUAGAUAGAAAAUAGGUGCCCGUACCGCAAACCGACACAGGUAGUCAAGAUGAGAAUUCUAAGGUGAGCGAGCGAACUCUCGUUAAGGAACUCGGCAAAAUGACCCCGUAACUUCGGGAGAAGGGGUGCUCUUUAGGGUUAACGCCCAGAAGAGCCGCAGUGAAUAGGCCCAAGCGACUGUUUAUCAAAAACACAGGUCUCUGCUAAACCGUAAGGUGAUGUAUAGGGGCUGACGCCUGCCCGGUGCUGGAAGGUUAAGAGGAGUGGUUAGCUUCUGCGAAGCUACGAAUCGAAGCCCCAGUAAACGGCGGCCGUAACUAUAACGGUCCUAAGGUAGCGAAAUUCCUUGUCGGGUAAGUUCCGACCCGCACGAAAGGCGUAACGAUUUGGGCACUGUCUCAACGAGAGACUCGGUGAAAUCAUAGUACCUGUGAAGAUGCAGGUUACCCGCGACAGGACGGAAAGACCCCGUGGAGCUUUACUGUAGCCUGAUAUUGAAAUUCGGCACAGCUUGUACAGGAUAGGUAGGAGCCUUUGAAACGUGAGCGCUAGCUUACGUGGAGGCGCUGGUGGGAUACUACCCUAGCUGUGUUGGCUUUCUAACCCGCACCACUUAUCGUGGUGGGAGACAGUGUCAGGCGGGCAGUUUGACUGGGGCGGUCGCCUCCUAAAAGGUAACGGAGGCGCUCAAAGGUUCCCUCAGAAUGGUUGGAAAUCAUUCAUAGAGUGUAAAGGCAUAAGGGAGCUUGACUGCGAGACCUACAAGUCGAGCAGGGUCGAAAGACGGACUUAGUGAUCCGGUGGUUCCGCAUGGAAGGGCCAUCGCUCAACGGAUAAAAGCUACCCCGGGGAUAACAGGCUUAUCUCCCCCAAGAGUUCACAUCGACGGGGAGGUUUGGCACCUCGAUGUCGGCUCAUCGCAUCCUGGGGCUGUAGUCGGUCCCAAGGGUUGGGCUGUUCGCCCAUUAAAGCGGUACGCGAGCUGGGUUCAGAACGUCGUGAGACAGUUCGGUCCCUAUCCGUCGUGGGCGUAGGAAAUUUGAGAGGAGCUGUCCUUAGUACGAGAGGACCGGGAUGGACAUACCUCUGGUGUACCAGUUGUCGUGCCAACGGCAUAGCUGGGUAGCUAUGUGUGGACGGGAUAAGUGCUGAAAGCAUCUAAGCAUGAAGCCCCCCUCAAGAUGAGAUUUCCCAACUUCGGUUAUAAGAUCCCU